rnacentral:rRNA from 1 species
GAUGAACGCUGGCGGCGUGCCUAAUACAUGCAAGUCGAGCGAACGGACGAGAAGCUUGCUUCUCUGAUGUUAGCGGCGGAAGGGUGAGUAACACGUGGAUAACCUACCUAUAAGACUGGGAUAACUUCGGGAAACCGGUGCUAAUACCGGAUAAUAUUUUGAACCGCAUGGUUCAAAAGUGAAAGACGGUCUUGCUGCCACUUAUAGAUGGCUCCGGGCUGCAUUAGCUAGUUGGUAGGGUAACGGCUUACCAUGGCAACGAUGCAUAGCCGACCUGAGAGGGUGAACGGCCACACUGGAGCUGAGACGCGGUCCAGACUCCUACGGGAGGCAGCAGUAGGGAAUCUUGCGCGAUGGGCGAAAGCCUGACGGAGCAGCGCCGCGUUAGUGAUGAAGGUCUUCGGAUCGUAAAACUCUGUUAUUAGGGAAGAACAUAUGUGUAAGUAACUGUGCACAUCUUGACGGUACCUAAUCAGAAAGCCACGGCUAACUACGUG